GUCUAUUGGACAGUGAUAUCUGAAGGGAGAGAGUGUACAAUAUGCAGCAAAAGGCCACAGGACGUAUUCUACCAGGAAAACCUUGUCAUAUAAAACCUUCCUCACUACUGAUGUCAAAGUGGAGGUGGUGUGGGUGUUUAACCGGCAGCGAGGGUUUAAUAAAAGACACAGUCAAGUUGUAUUUUGGGAGUUUGAUGCACACAACGGGCCAAAAGUCA